rnacentral:rRNA from 1 species
AACGAACGCUGGCGGCAGGCCUAACACAUGCAAGUCGAACGCCCUAGCAAUAGGGAGUGGCAGACGGGUGAGUAACACGUGGGAACGUGCCCUUCGGUUCGGAAUAACUCAGGGAAACUUGAGCUAAUACCGGAUAAGUGCGAGAGCAGAAAGAUUUAUCGCCGAAGGAUCGGCCCGCGUCCGAUUAGCUAGUUGGUGAGGUAAUGGCUCACCAAGGUGACGAUCGGUAGCUGGUCUGAGAGGAUGACCAGCCACACUGGGACUGAGACACGGCCCAGACUCCUACGGGAGGCAGCAGUGGGGAAUAUUGGACAAUGGGCGCAAGCCUGAUCCAGCCAUGCCGCGUGAGUGAUGAAGGCCCUAGGGUUGUAAAGCUCUUUCGCCAGGGACGAUAAUGACGGUACCUGGAUAAGAAGCCCCGGCUAACUUCGUGCCAGCAGCCGCAGUAA